rnacentral:pre_miRNA from 1 species
GGUUUUUGUGGAACAACUCACAGAAACUUUCCAACUAUGUGAGUUGUCCCACAAAGAACAC